rnacentral:rRNA from 1 species
UGGGGAAUAUUGCACAAUGGGGAAAGCCCUGAUGCAGCGACGCCGCGUGAGUGAAGAAGUAUUUCGGUAUGUAAAGCUCUAUCAGCAGGGAAGAAGAAAGACGGUACCUGACUAAGAAGCCCCGCUAACUACGUGCCAGCAGCCGCGGUAAUACGUAGGGCGAAGCGUUAUCCGGAUUUACUGGGUGUAAAGGGAGCGUAGACGGCGAGCAAGUCUGAAGUGAAAGCCCGGCGUAUCAGCAGCAGUUGAUGACUGUACUGCUGGAGUGCUGGAGAGGUAAGCGGAAUUCCUAGUGUAGCGGUGAAAUGCGUAGAUAUUAGGAGGAACACCAGUGGCGAAGGCGGCUUACUGGACAGUCACUGACGUUGAGGCUCGAAAAGCGUGGGGAGCAAAACAGGAUUAGAUACCC